GUGGGGUAAUGGCCUACCAAGGCGACGACGGGUAGCCGGCCUGAGAGGGUGGACGGCCACACUGGGACUGAGACACGGCCCAGACUCCUACGGGAGGCAGCAGUGGGGAAUAUUGCACAAUGGGCGCAAGCCUGAUGCAGCGACGCCGCGUGAGGGAUGAAGGCCUUCGGGUUGUAAACCUCUUUCAGUAGGGAAGAAGCGAAAGUGACGGUACCUGCAGAAGAAGCGCCGGCUAACUACGUGCCAGCAGCCGCGGUAAUACGUAGGGCGCAAGCGUUAUCCGGAAUUAUUGGGCGUAAAGAGCUCGUAGGCGGUUUGUCGCGUCUGCCGUGAAAGUCCGGGGCUUAACUCCGGAUCUGCGGUGGGUACGGGCAGACUUGAGUGAUGUAGGGGAGACUGGAAUUCCUGGUGUAGCGGUGAAAUGCGCAGAUAUCAGGAGGAACACCGAUGGCGAAGGCAGGUCUCUGGGCAUUAACUGACGCUGAGGAGCGAAAGCAUGGGGAGCGAACAGGAUUAGAUACCCUGGUAGUCCAUGCCGUAAACGUUGGAUACUAGGUGUGGCGUCCCGAUCAACGGAUGCCGUGCCGAAGCUAACGCAUUAAGUAUCCCGCCUGGGGAGUACGGCCGCAAGGCUAAAACUCAAAGGAAUUGACGGGUCCCCGCACAAGCGGCGGAGCAUGCGGCUUAAUUCGAUGCAACGCGAAGAACCUUACCGAGGCUUGACAUAUACGAGAACGCUACAGAAAUGUAGAACUCUUUGGACACUCGUAUACAGGUGGUGCAUGGUUGUCGUCAGCUCGUGUCGUGAGAUGUUGGGUUAAGUCCCGCAACGAGCGCAACCCUCGUUCUAUGUUGCCAGCACGUUAUGGUGGGAACUCAU
rnacentral:rRNA from 1 species